ACAUAAUUGCGUUGCAGAUAUGACAUGUUAAUUCAGACUGGUCGCGCACCACUUCCAAUAUGUACUUCGUUGCGAUCUGGAAGCUUUUCCGACUGUUGUUGGGGGUGAGGGGUCAUUAACAACAUAUAGGACAACAUAUAGGUUUCACAUUUACACAAUGCAUAGUAAUUAUGCGACCUUUAUGUAAAUUGCACUCGUGUCCAGUUGUCGGAAAACAUCAAAAAAGUUUUAGAUUUUCUUAUGGAAACAAAAACAGGUUAAAACAGGCAGUUAGUUUCGCACAGUGGGAAGACACUUUUGAUAUUCGGGCAACAGGUCGUGCGCAACGCCGCAAGACAUAUUUUCUUUUCAUGUCCCUCCCCGGCUCCGUGCUUCUUUUCCGAUACUGUGACUGUUUUCAAACUAUCAACAUUUCACUUAUAGGCUACUAAUCAUUAACAGGUAUAUAAUUAAAAUAUCUGUACUGUGAAUGAUACAGUAAUGUGUGUGGUUAUGCAGAGCACUACGUUCUUUUGUGGGUGUUUAUUAUGUAACUUUAUAUAACCCUUUGUAAAUAUUCACAGCAUUAUUUGAUUACAGAGGUCUGCCUCAUGACAGGUGAAAGAGAGCAGGUACACGGGGUUUUAACCCGCGCCCUGUCAUCAGUUCGCCAAGCGGAAUCUGAAUUGAGGUCUCAUACAACUGACGAUAUAGAUGAUUUUGAUGCAGCCUCUUUUGUCAGUGAAACAAGGGCCUUGUUUAGAAGUAGAUCUGUGGACUCAUCACAAAGGACAGGAAAGAGAGGCAGAAAAAAAGGACGGCAAAGGGGACAUUUAUGGAAGACUCAUUUUUUCUUACUGCAAAAGAACAAUGAAGAAUUUGUACCACCACCGUCUGAACUAUCAAGACUGACAAGAAAUGGAUUAGAGAACAGAAGGAAGGAUGUUAAAUGAAAGCCGUCAAGUAACAGCAGGAAGCAAUGCAUCAGUGACCCAAUUGCAAGUUCAGGAGCAGGUUAUGCAACAACAUGCUACCAAUGCAAUGGCUGAUCUUCUAGAAAAUGAAACAUCAGAAAACAUCCCACAAAGGGCAGCUGAGUUUCAAUUGUCAGAAUGGACGACUCAUCCAUCAACGCCUCUCCACCACUACCUUUCUCAUAUGUAAAUGCUGACACACCAACAGUUCAGCUCCACCAGUCUGUUCUGGGAGAAAAGGAGUAGGAGCUUGAAAGAGCUUUCUCUGAACUGGAUGUGUUAUUGGAAGAAGAAGUUACAGUUGAAGUUAAAAGACACACUGUUCUAGAAGAUGUACAAAGAAUUUACAGUAAUCAAAGUAUCAUCAAUAAACGUUUACAUGUUAACUUCAUUGGGGAAGAAGGAGAUGACUUUGGUGGGUUAACAAAAUAUCUCUUUUCUUCUUUUUGGAACAGUGCUUUCAUUCAGUGGUUUAAAGGUGAGGAUGCUCUUGUCCCAUGUAUACCAGUAAAUCAAUAUGCCAAAGCGCAGGACAUUUUUUCUGUUGUUGGUAAAGUUUUGUCACAUAUGUCAGCUUAAUCAUUGCGUGCCACCCAGAUUUUGUAGAUCAACACUGCUAUCUGUUGUGUUUAAUACCUCUAUGAUUGAUAGUAGAACGCUGUUGGAUGACUUUAUGCUCCAUGUAACAGUACCUGAACGAGCCUUGCUGCAAAAGGCUUUGAAUAGUUUUGAAAAACUAAGCAUUUCUGAAAAAUCUGACUUGCUGACCUUUUAUUCUGUGAAUGGCAUGCACACAGUUCCUUCAGCUAAAGAUUUUAGAGAGCAACUGGUUCUUGUAGCACAAAAUGAACUGGUAAUAAAACCAAUGUUCUUGAAUUGCUUUAUGAGGCAGGCUAUUCCAGAGUCUCAUAUGAGAGCAUUUUGUUCACAGUUAGAUACAGACUUAAUUUCGUAGCUGUACUGGCAAGAGAUGCCUACUGCAGAACGUGUGUUGCAGUGUAUAACAACUUCUGAAAAUGACCUGUAACCUGAAGAAGAAGUUGCUUAUUACUAUUUACGUGACUUCAUCAAGUCAGUGGAUCAGGAUGAAAUGUCCAAAAUUCUGCAUUUUGUUACAGGAUCCCCAUUACUGCCAAAUGAUGGCAUUACAAUAGUAUUUAAUAGACUUUGUGGUAGCCUGAGGAGACCUAUUGCACACACUUGUAGCAAUACACUAGAGAUACCAGUAAGCUGUGCUUCAUUACAGGACUUCAAACGAGAAAUGAAAUCCAUUCUAAAUUCAGAGAAUGCAUUUAUGACAAUGAUUUAAGGUAGUGGUUAGAAUCACAGCAGCUAUAUCUGAAGUCAAGUGACGUGAAGAAUCAUUUGACAAGGGAUGUUUUUAUAUAAAAAAAAAAUAUUUUACUUGUAAAUGCCCAACUACUUAAGCCUGCUUCUUUCAUAAUGAUCUGUAAAGCCUUGAUAACAUGACUUCCCAGGAACACCACAGCGUAAAGCCUAUUAAAAAAGGAGGGUCAGCAAUCAUUUGAGAUAAAAUUUAUAGUUUUCUGUUCCAAUUCCCUUUUAAUCCAUUCCAAUUACUUUUAU